UGCGCAGGCGGCCUGAUAAGUAGGAUGUGAAAUCUCUCGGCCCAACCGAGGAACUGCGUUCUAAACUGUCAGGCUUGAGUGAGAUAGGGGUGUGCGGAACUUCUAGUGGAGCGGUGAAAUGUGUUGAUAUUAGAAGGAACACCAGUAGCGAAGGCGGCACACUGGGUCUUAACUGACGCUCAUGCACGAAAGCCAGGGUAGCGAACG
rnacentral:rRNA from 1 species